rnacentral:rRNA from 1 species
GAGACUCUGUGCGCGUGCAUAUCAAUAAGCGGAGGAAAAGAAACUAACAAGGAUUCCCUUAGUAACGGCGAGUGAAGCGGGAAGAGCUCAAAUUUGAAAUCUUCAAGGUUUUACCUUGACGAAUUGUAGUUUAUAGAAGUGUUUUCUGUUAGUGAGUUGGUAAAAGUUCUUUGGAAUAGGACAUCAUAGAGGGUGAGAAUCCCGUAUUUGGUCAUUCCUUCCUAGCGUUGUGAUACACUUUCAACGAGUCGGAUUGUUUGGGAAUGCAGUCCAAAAUGGGUGGUAAAUUUCAUCUAAAGCUAAAUAUUGGCGAGAGACCGAUAGCGAACAAGUACCGUGAGGGAAAGAUGAAAAGAACUUUGAAAAGAGAGUUAAACAGUACGUGAAAUUGUCAAAAGGGAAGCGUUUGACACCAGUGUUGUUUUUCCGAAAAUCAAUUACGAAUGUUUUAUUUUUGAGGAGUUAUGACUUCAUCGGCUUGCUUCUCUCUUUAUGAAACUUUCUUAAUGCACUUUUCGGUUAACAAGUCAACAUCAAUUUCUUUUGUUGUAAAAGGGUAUGAGGAAGGUGGCUUUCUUUUCGGAGAAAGUGUUUAUAGCCUUGUAGCCUCUGCAAUCGGAGAGAUUGAGGUCUGCAGCGUAGAUCCUUCGGGGUUAGAUACAGUUUGUGCUAAGUUAUAGCUUUUCAUAGACAACUUGUUGACUAUGUUUAGUCUUGUAGCUUACUCGCUGAUGCUAUUUUACCUACGCUUAGGAUGUUGACGAUCAGCUGAGCGCG